rnacentral:rRNA from 1 species
AUACGUAGGGAGCGAGCGUUGUCCGGAAUUACUGGGUGUAAAGGGAGCGUAGGCGGGAGUGCAAGUCAGCUGUGAAAUACAUGGGCUCAACCCAUGGGCUGCAUUUGAAACUGCAUUUCUUGAGUGAAGUAGAGGUAAGCGGAAUUCCUGGUGUAGCGGUGAAAUGCGUAGAUGUCAGGAGGAACACCGGUGGCGAAGGCGGCUUACUGGGCUUUUACUGACGCUGAGGCUCGAAAGCGUGGGGAGCAAACAGGAUUAGAUACCCUGGUAGUCCACGCUGUAAACGAUGAUUACUAGGUGUGGGGGGACUGACCCCUUCCGUGCCGCAGUUAACACAAUAAGUAAUCCACCUGGGGAGUACGGCCGCAAGGU